GAUGAACGCUGGCGGCGUGCCUAAUACAUGCAAGUCGAGCGAAUGGAUUAAGAGCUUGCUCUUAUGAAGUUAGCGGCGGACGGGUGAGUAACACGUGGGUAACCUGCCCAUAAGACUAGGAUAACUCCGGGAAACCGGGGCUAAUACCGGAUAACAUUUUGAACCGCAUGGUUCGAAAUUGAAAGGCGGCUUCGGCUGUCACUUAUGGAUGGACCCGCGUCGCAUUAGCUAGUUGGUGAGGUAACGGCUCACCAAGGCAACGAUGCGUAGCCGACCUGAGAGGGUGAUCGGCCACACUGGGACUGAGACACGGCCCAGACUCCUACGGGAGGCAGCGGUAGGGAAUCCUCCGCAAUGGACGAAAGUCUGACGGAGCAACGCCGCGUGAGUGAUGAAGGCUUUCGGGUCGUAAAACUCUGUUGUUAGGGAAGAACAAGUGCUAGUUGAAUAAGCUGGCACCUUGACGGUACCUAACCAGAAAGCCACGGCUAACUACGUGCCAGCCGCCGCAGUAA
rnacentral:rRNA from 1 species